GUCGGGAAUUUUGGGCAAUGGGCGAAAGCCUGACCCAGCAACGCCGCGUGAAGGAUGAAGUAUUUCGGUAUGUAAACUUCGAAAGAAUGGGAAGAAUCAAUGACGGUACCAUUUAUAAGGUCCGGCUAACUACGUGCCAGCAGCCGCGGUAAUACGUAGGGACCAAGCGUUGUUCGGAUUUACUGGGCGUAAAGGGCGCGUAGGCGGCUUGUCAAGUCACUUGUGAAAUCUCUGGGCUUAACCCAGAACGGCCAAGUGAAACUGACAUGCUAGAGUGCAGAAGGGGCAAUCGGAAUUCUUGGUGUAGCGGUGAAAUGCGUAGAUAUCAAGAGGAACACCUGAGGUGAAGACGGGUUGCUGGGCUGACACUGACGCUGAGGCGCGAAAGCCAGGGGAGCAAACGGGAUUAGAAACCCUUGUAGUCC
rnacentral:rRNA from 1 species